AGAGUUUGAUCCUGGCUCAGGAUGAACGCCCUUUGCAGGCUUAACACAUGCAAGUCGAGGGGCAUCGGGAGGGAAGCUUGCUUUCCUUGCCGGCGACCGGCGCACGGGUGAGUAACACGUAUGCAACCUGCCCUCUUCAGGGGGACAACCUUCCGAAAGGGAGGCUAAUCCCGCGUAUAUCGGUUUCGGGCAUCCGAGAUCGAGGAAAGAUUCAUCGGAAGAGGAUGGGCAUGCGGCGCAUUAGCUAGACGGCGGGGUAACGGCCCACCGUGGCGACGAUGCGUAGGGGUUCUGAGAGGAAGGUACCCCACACUGGUACUGAGACACGGACCAGACUCCUACGGGAGGCAGCAGUGAGGAAUAUUGGUCAAUGGGAGAGAUCCUGAACCAGCCAAGCCGCGUGAGGGAAGACGGCCCUAUGGGUUGUAAACCUCUUUUGUCGGAGAACAAAACCCGGGACGAGUCCCGGACUGCGUGUAUCCGAAGAAAAAGCAUCGGCUAACUCCGUGCCAGCGGCCGCGGUAAUACGGAGGAUGCGAGCGUUAUCCGGAUUUAUUGGGUUUAAAGGGUGCGUAGGCGGUCCGUUAAGUCAGCGGUAAAAUUGCGGGGCUCAACCCCGUCGAGCCGUUGAAACUGGCAGACUUGAGUUGGCGAGAAGUACGCGGAAUGCGCGGUGUAGCGGUGAAAUGCAUAGAUAUCGCGCAGAACUCCGAUUGCGAAGGCAGCGUACCGGCGCCAGACUGACGCUGAGGCACGAAAGCGUGGGGAUCGAACAGGAUUAGAUACCCUGGUAGUCCACGCAGUAAACGAUGA
rnacentral:rRNA from 1 species